rnacentral:lncRNA from 1 species
ACACCUCCACUCUAUCUCUCUCAAUCUAGUAGAAACUAGAAGAUCUAUUUCUACCUUACAUUGGUUGCUAAGCCGAAAAAGAAAUAUUAUUUAGAGAAGAGGUUUUCCUUCGAGGGCACCCCUCAAUCUCUAUGAUAAUUUCUUGUCUUCUCCAGGGCCAGAGGGGGUCUCCUUAUAUAGUCCUCCCCUUCUAUGCGUUUUUGGGUCGAUAGGCGAGGUGGUACUAUGUUAUUCUGGAUCCAAUAGGUCGGUGGAACGUCGUGUGCGAAGAGAGUCCGGAACGGAGUCCAGAGGGGGGCGGGCGCCCAGGUCCUCAGGGCAGGCGCCCUGGGCCUGGCCCCUUUCGGGCUCCGCUUCCUUCCCGUGGCUUCUGGAGUCUUCUAGAUGGUAGAAAAUUGCGCGGUGGGUUGAUAUCUCUAUGUAAUCCUGACAUGUGGGCCUUUCUUCCUUAUUUCCUGAUAACCCCCUGCAGAAAUAGACAAACACCAAAACUCAUGGAAUUCUGUCAGAUAAAACCCUAAGUCUAGAUGUUGAUUUCAUUUGGAUCCUUUUCUUUGUUUAUUUGAUAAUUAAAUUUGAUACUUAAGGACCGUCAACAAACUCCCCCAAGCUUACCUCUUGCUCGUCCCUGAGCAAGGAUGAACUCAAGAGUUUCUGUAGUGGUUUCAUUUCUUAGAAGUACACACGCAUUUAAGCAAGAUCUCAUCUCUGAGUUAGAAUAAACUGUUAAGACUUAAAACUUACUUACUUUACCUACACCAUAGGACUUGUAACCGUCACUUCUGUCUUGAGUGGUUAAAAGAUAGAACAGUCUAGCCAAUUGCCAUGUCUCUUAUUCUUGAUCAGCUAUAGCUCUGGGGUUUUUGCAGAUUUUCAAAUAAAACUCAGAAAUUCCUUGUAUGAUUCUCUCAGGUCUCUCUUUUGUGGUAUUUUUGGAUCCUUACCAAGGCAGUGAUGGUAUAUGCCUUCUCUCAAAAUAUGUAGUAUUGGUGGUAUGAAGCAUAGUGUCAUUGUCUUCUCUCUCACCCUACUCUAAUAAGGCUUUAAUAUCUGGAGCUCAUAGGUGGGCGAUAAAGUAUACAUACUUACAAGACAUUUAUUGCAUAGUCAAACCAUGGAUCCAAAGAAACAAAUCAAUAAGCCAAAUCAAGAUGUGCAUGUGUGGCGAAUGAAUGGUGUAUGGUGAUAACAAUGGUGGUGGAAGUCUAAUUCUACUUUGCUCUUUGAGGGGAUACAUACCUUCCUUGCUUUUGAAACUUUAUGAGGAGAAUGAGAUGCUCUUCUUUUUUCUUUUCUUUCAAGGUUCCGAGCACUUGCUCCUUUUUAUUUCCUCGUAUCUUUUAUUUUCUUUUUCUCUUUUUUUUUCAGAGCAUUCAUCUCUUGAGAUAAUAUAGCAAGUGGUAGUAACAAGAUAACUUGAGCAUUUAUUUCACAAGGGGAAACAGAAAUAUUUUUGGUUAUUCUCUCCCGGAUUAGGAGUAGAAUACUUUUGGGUGGUUUUGGAGAUGGAAAUGAGUAGAUAUAUGUGGAUGGUACUUCCGGAGUAGAAGUAGCAUGUAUGAGUUAACGUGCAAAUGAAUCUUGAUUUAACCACAUGACAAGCUCCUAAGGGUCUAUACAGCUUGACCACACUCAAUGCUCAUAAGCAGUAAAUAGUAAAUGUGUGGCUCAAGGUCUAGCAAGCAUGUAUAUAUGGCUGUGGUAGGAAUUUAAACUCUCAUCAUACAGGAACUCAUCAUGCAACAUUUUAAAGAUUUUCAAAGAUAAAAUUCUCCAGAAUUCUAGCAUCUCUAGGAACAGAUAAACAACAGCUCAACCUUCCCAUAUCGUAUCCGUUAACAACUUAGACUUCAGAUCAAGUUUUCAUCCCACAAGUUUAGGUCUAGAGCAAGCCUUAAAUUAUAACAGUUAUAUCUAAACUUGAGAGAGAACUUCAAAUAUUCAAAUUAGGCAGAGCAACUAUUCAUCAUAUCCAUGCUUAAGUUUUAUUAGAUAUAGAUUAGCAUAGCCACUUUAUUUAUUUAUUAAACACACUAAGCAAAAUAUAUAUAAGCAUAAAAUCUUUAUUUGGUUUUUCAUAGUUAUGUGUAUUUAUAUUCUAAUAUAGUAUAAGUAUAAAGAUAGAUAGAAAUACUUAUCGAGAUAAAUGGGGGUGCUCUCCCCCAAGCUGAAUUUUGACGUAAUUUCUUGAUGUAGCUAGCAGGUGGCAGAGGUGUAUUUGAAAUUCAGCAGCAUUCUGACAGCGAUUAGAAUGUCCUCCGUCUGCUAGUCUUCUUGAUUCUUAAAUUCUGUGGAGCUCAAAUAGACAACAAAGCUUGUGGAACUGGUUAAGUGUUAGCAUAAAUAUCUAGCCUUUAUCAUGUUGAGACUCCUUAAUAAAUAUUACUCCCUGUUUUUAUAUUUUUAUUUUUAUAAAGCAGAAAAAUAUUUAUUUUAUUUUUAUGCCACCACAGUGAAUGUACUUAUGGGUUUUAUGCCACUCGUCUACUCACAUGGGGCUUACAGUUUUUUGUCACAUUUUUAUUUUCUUUCUAGGAUAAUACGAACAUGAUUAACUAAGUAAACUAUUUGAAAUAAUUAAAAGGGAAAGGAUAACUACCAAGUUUACCUCUUGGCAAGGCGUUCGGUGUUUUUAAGUCCUCCGAGCGGGACUCUCCAUUUUCUUAAUCGUCCUGGGAUUCGCUGGAUGACGUAGUCGGUGAUUCCGGUGGCGCCUCCUCUUCGUGUGUAACUAUAUUCUCUCUCCACACCUGACUCGGUGCUAUGGUCUCCUCAGGACAGUUAUGUUCAAGUGGUAUGUCUUCAGUCCUUAUCACUUCUCCUUCGUAGUCUACCCAUCCGUCCUUGAUGAUUUGCCUCCUCUGGUUGCGGUUGCGUUGUCUUCUUCUUGUCCUGACGUGGUCUUCUCCGGUUCCAAUGUAGAUGAUGGCUUUGAUAGUGCUAAGGAACGGUCUUCUAAGGAUGAUGGGUGGAUCGUACUCGUCUUCUCCCAUGUUAAUGACCUAAAAAUCAUCUGGAGCUGAAUGUAUGUUGGUUGUAGGGGCAUGGUUCCAUGCAGGAGCUGAUAAGUGACUGCGGCCAUUAUGUUGACGUCAGAUCCGGUGUCGUAGAGUGUCUUCUAAAAAGAGUAUUUGUUGAUUGUGCACUCAAUGCUUGGAACACCAGGGUCGUCCUUCUUGAUCAAGAAAGGUGACUUGAAUCGACGAUCUUGACCUCCUUGAGCUGCAGUGACCAUCUUAGCUGACUCGGUCCACAUUUGCUUGUUCUUGUUCCUCCUGUUGGUCCUCUUCCUCGGUUCAUGUCGGGAUUGCUCUGAAAUUUGUGUAGUCUUGUUCUUGAAGGAAAGUCUCCUUCUUCCCCUUGAUGUAGAGACUGAUCUUGGCAGCAUUAGCGUAGAUGACAGCUCUAGUGUUUAGGAAUGGCCUCCCUAAGAUGAUGGGUGCCCUCUCCUCAGUACCAGUCUCUAUCACCAUGAAGUCUGCUAGAGCAUACAAGGUACCAACUCGGACGCAGAGGUUCUUCAAUAUUUCCUUUGGGAAACUGAGUGUCCGAUCUGCAACCUUGGGCAUAAUGUUGACGCUGGAGCCAAAGUCGCAGAGUGCUUCUGGGAAGUCCACCAUGCCGAUGGAGAUCGGGAUGACGAGGCGUCCUAGAUCACCUCUCUGAGUAAUUAGGCCUCUGUUGAUUCCAACCUUGAUGUUGUUGAGGACGGUUGUAGUAAUAGUUGUUAUGGUUGUUGAUGUAGUUCACGUCCUCAAGCAUCUUAGGGCAGUGAUUGCCUGAGCGUCCAGUAUCUCCAGUGUGUUUGUGCUCGUAGAUCCUAGUUCUUCACUUGGUGGAAUCUGGGAGUUGUAAAACUCCUUCAUAUUAUGCUCGAAGUGUUCCUGCUCAUAGAGACAAGGUAGAGAUCAAGUGCAUGGGCCCUGUUGGUGGAAAACACCAACAAAACCAAAAGUGUAUUUGUUCUUCUCUAACCUUAAGCAUAGUGAGCAAGACAAAGUUGAUGGAUCAUGAGUGUAGCAUUUGUCAGAUCAGAUGGCUCAACCUAAUGGAAAGAUAAUCUAUCUAUAUUUAUGUUUUGUUUAUAUCUUCCAAAGAUUUAAUGUGCAAUACUUUAGCUUAUAUGAUUAGGAGUGUGGGGUCACGAAGGUAGUACUAAGAACAAAGAUUAAAGGACUAAACAUGUUGAAUUAAUUGAGUUGGUUAAUUUGGAGUUAUAAAUCAUACAUGUUUGUCUCUUUAUUUUAUGUGAACGCUAGAACCAAGGAGAAACUUAUAAAAGUGAUAGUCAAGUACCUUAAGAUGUUACCUUAUUUGAAGAGUGAUGGUACAGUAUCACCUUGUGGAAGCUUUCCUUUCUUAGCGGUUGUGCAUCGUGUUUGUGGCACCCUCCAUGAAUCAUCUCUUAUGAGCUACGUCUUUCUUGUGCAAAUUGUUAAACUUCAUGUGUCACUUUCUUCAUCUCUAAUGAGUUUGCAUCUCAGGACUUCCCAGGUUGAUAUUGAAAGUUUUCCUACAGGGGUUAGUCCAACAAAAUAUACCAAUAUCUACUCAAGCAGUUUUUAGUUCAGUAACCAAACUAGACUCCAUGUCUAAUCAGAUUAAGGAAGGCUAUUUAACCUAAGCACCACGCUUAAUUUAAAUGCCAUUGGAAGUGUGACCAGUACUUCCAAACUAACACUUACUAGGAUAAACAAAGGUAGCAUGAUGGCUUUUAUAGAGAUCUACUCAAGUGGAGAUGAAGUAGUGUGAUUAGUAUUUAAAAAAUUGAGCAUGUCUCAAAGGUAAGGACAACCAACAUAGCAACAUGGCAAAGGAUGUUUUAUGUAAAGUACUCCCCCAAGCUUGAAUUUUGCAAAAUUCAAGAUUAGAUGAAUUUAAUUUAAUGUUGCAUGAUGAUUGGUUGGGCAUACCUUGCGCUUGUCAUUCAUCCGAUCUUCUUGCUCCAAUCCUAGAAAGGUUAGUGGCAAGAAUACCCGAAGGAAUUUUUCUACAAUUAUCUUUAUAUGCUCAAUACACAAGGCAAUGUUGCAAAUAAUUAGAAGUGCUUGUUUUAGGACACUAAGCUUGUCCUUGGGAAACCAUCAAUCAACUCAACGAGAUCUGUAAUAGUUAUUAUAGACAUAUGCAUCGACAACCGCCCUUUUAAAGUUUUUAUAAAUAGAAAGGAAAAGGGGGUUGGAGAUCUCAAAUGUGGUAAGGAUGGAGAGACAAAUUGAUUGGAGAGAUGUUUUAUAUGAGCAAGGACUGGGUGAGGUAUUUAUGAAAUAACUUCCAUGCUCACUGUUGUUUCUCUCAUUCUCAAACUCCAAGGAUGAUUCUUCAUGAAUGUUUAAAAUUCCUCUAGGAUUGUCUCUCAAGUUUGUUUUAUCUAUCCAUUCAAUGGAGAUAGCACAUGGAUUUUUAAUGCCCUCUAGCCAUUGAUGUUGCUCUUCUCGAUCCUCCUUCUUAUGCAUGGGAUGUCUAGAAAGAUUCAUAGGAUUAUCGGGAGGUUCAAGAGGAAGAGCAUAGUAGAAACUAUUAAGCUCAAGGAUGGGAUGGAUAGCCGAAUUAUGGGUUUGAAAUGUUUGGAAAUUGGCUAUUGAAACUUCCUUUCCUUGUCUGGGAGAUGAUUCCUUCUCUAUUUCUAAGAUUUUUCUAUGAAGACUAGUACAAGAUGGAUGUCCACGAAUAAAGACAUACCUUCCUUUACUAAUAGAUAAAGAAAGAAAGACUCUACCAAAGUUUAUAUGAUUAAGACCAAUGUGAAAAUAUUUAGGAAAAACAUGGUCUUGUAGGGCUAGGUCUAAACCAGAAUUUAUAGAAAGAUUAAAAGAUUCCCUAGGUGUAGCUAAAAGUGCAUUAUCUUUUUGAUUAAAAGAUAGGACCUCAGCUAUAGAAAAGGGUUGGUUUUGACCUAUUGCAAUCAACUCCGGACACAUAUCAUAAUUAGGGGCAGGACGUGUUGACUCCCAUGGUCUAUGGCUGGUCUCCGAAGGUGCAAAGAAUUCAAUAAUAGGUAUGGAAUUUGAGUUAUCCAUAAAGAUAAAAAUAAAAAGAUAAAAGAAUAAAAGUAUAAAAGUAUAAUACAAGAUAAUAGCAAGACUCAAAGUUAUCUCAGCAAACCGUCUUUCUCCCCGGCAACGGCGCCAGAAAUGCUUGUUGAUAUUUGGUAACGCAAUUAGAAAAUGAUCCGCAAGCGCACGGAUAUCGGUGAGCAUUUCACCCGGGAGGUUAUCCAGAGUUAUCGUAUUUAUAUUUUUACCACUGGGAGAAAGGGUGCAUCUGACUAACCAAAUCUAUUGCUACUAUCCCUUUAGGCUAGAAAGAAUGUCUCUCGAUGUGAGUGAUGUAUAGAGAAGACUGCAACCUUAGUCUCGUUCUAACCUUGGUAAGGAUGAUCUACUGUUCUAUUGGGGAGGCUCACGGAAUCUAGACAACACAAAGGAUGUUCGACCCGCACCUAUAAACCUACCCGUCCUGCUAACGAGAUGUGAUCUGCAAAGGUAACUCGGAAAUGUCACAUUCCUCGCUACUACCACGGUCCAGCUAGUCAGGGGAUAUCUAUGAGUACCCUAGCCUAAACACCACGUUUACGCUAACAAGUGAUUAGUCUAAUACUCAACCGGAAGAGGAUUAAAGUAAACUCAUAAACCAAAGAACAAUAAAACAAGAACUUACUAGAAUUAGAAGUCGAAUUACUGAAGAAUCUUAGAAGCAAGCCUCGGGUUAGGAGACUUGAUCCCGCAGGUACAACUCGGAGUAGACACCGACAGGCCAGCCUUCCUCCGAUCCACACCUCCACUCUAUCUCUCUCAAUCUAGUAGAAACUAGAAGAUCUAUUUCUACCUUACAUUGGUUGCUAAGCCUAAAAAGAAAUAUUAUUUAGAGAAGAGGUUUUCCUUCGAGGGCACCCCUCAAUCUCUAUGAUAAUUUCUUGUCUUCUCCAGGGCCAGAGGGGGUCUCCUUAUAUAGUUCUCCCCUUCUAUGCGUUUUUGGGUCAAUAGGCUAGGUGGUACUAUGUUAUUCUGGAUCCAAUAGGUCGGUGGAACGUCGUGUGCGAAGAGAGUCCGGAACGGAGUCCAGAGGGGGGCGGGCGCCCAGGUCCUCAGGGCGGGCGCCCUGGGCCUGGCCCCUUUCCGGCUCCGCUUCCUUCCCGUUGCUUAUGGAGUCUUCUAGAUGGUAGAAAAUUGCGCGGUGGGUUGAUAUCUCUAUGUAAUCCCGACAUGUGGGCCUUUCUUCCUUAUUUCCUGAUAAUCCCCUGCAGAAAUAGACAAACACCAAAACUCGUGGAAUUCUGUCAGAUAAAACCCUAAGUCUAGAUGUUGAUUUCAUUUGGAUCCUUUUCUUUGUUUAUUUGAUAAUUAAAUUUGAUACUUAAGGACCAUCAACAAUAGACAUAGCCCUUUGAAGUAGAGAAACCAUAGUUAUCCUCUCUAUUCUGCUACCAUCGCCCAUAUACUAGAUUGCUCUACUCUCUAUUCCCAUAUUAUCACCCAUUGUUAUCUUACCUUUAAUAUUGUUCUUAUUUAAUUCUACCAUCUUUCCUAUUUACACAUAUCUAUCUAUCUUGGUUAAGUUACAGCGUAGUUGGUUCUCCCGAUUCCCUGUGGAUACAAUAAGACCUUUAACCGGGUAAAAGCUACAACAGUAUCCGUGCGCUUGCGGAUUUAUCUGUGUGCGUAUAAAUACCAUAGUACACUCUAGUGCCAUGCUGGGGAUGACAACCUAGUAUUCAAGUGGUGUUUGCAAGUGUCAACACCUCUCAACCCUAAUUCAUUGUUCCUCAAGGGAGAAGAAGCCUCUGGUCAAGCCUAGAGCCACCACAUCAAUUAGACAUCUAGAUUAGCAUAGCUACAUAGGAUUAGAACUAGGAGUCAAUCUUCGAUUCGUUUCCGGAUCUGUCAAGAGGAUUCUUAGUUCUCUAAUUAUUCUUCUAAUUGUUUAUCUUUGUUCUUCAUUAUUAUGAAUAUGACUUUGUUCUAUUUCAAUAUAUUGCUUAUGACUUUGCUCUACUUGUUUAUAUUCAAGAUUAUAUUGUUCUUAGUGUAUCAUAGUUAUAUACUUGGCUUAGUUAGAUUGGAUCUAUAUACAUGUUUAGGAUCGUAUAGCGUUUAUCCAUAGGAUCCAUGGGUAAAUGAUAGAUAUUGUGUAGGCGUGGUGCUUAUACCGUAUUUAUCUGCGAUUGUACCCAAUAUGCCAGAUCGUGGGGUAGUUCGUGAUAGUGACAACUUCAUUGAUUCUUAUAUAGUAUCCCUCUCGUGUAUUGGGCUGGCAGAGCAACAUUGUUACAGGGGAGUGAUUACGAUGUUUAUCAUAUUCCUUGCUAAUAUCACUAUGUAUGGGCGUAGUCUUGUCUCACAAUGAUUGCUAAGUAUGCUUGCACUAACUAUGAUAAUGCUAGACUAUAUAGUUGAGAAUAACUUAGGAAAUAUUCUUGUAGUUCGUUCUAAUUCCAUGCUAAUGACUUGCUAGAAUAUCUAAUUGAGGUGCUUAUCAUAUUUAUUAUGUGGCUAAGUUAUGCUGAUCAGAUUAAUUUUCUUUGUCACUAUUUAUUACUUUAUAUCCUUUAUGUGACACUUACCCCUGUAUGAAAGAGUUAGAUAAAUGUUCUCAAUUAUACAUGCAAUGAUAGAUACCCAAUCUCAUAUUCCAUUCUAUAAUCAACAUUGAUGAUUGCUAAUCCCUUCCCAGUGGUAAAAAUAUAAAUAACGAUGCCUAGAAUACUUCCCGGUUAAAAUGCUACAUCGGUAUUAAUCUGUGCGCUUGUAGAUCCCAUUCAUUAUUUAUUUAGAUGAGCAAUUGCAUAUUUCAAUACUGCGUCUAUCAUAUCAUGCUAGGGAUGACAACUUGGCUUAAGUGGUAUGAGGGAUAGGUUUGGCAUUUUUCGCACCAUUAUCAGAAUUAGAAAACUAAGUCUUGUCACACCCAUAUUUUAAGAACAAAAUAGGAUGCAUAUAAGACUCAUAUGUGCCCCAGAAACAGUCGCACACAUAAGUAGAUAAAUCUCAAAUGUACCAUUGCAGUGUUUAUUACAUAGCGGAACAAUAAUAAAUCACAUAGUCUUACACAAAAAUAAUAUGAGAUAAACAACGCUCUUGACGGAAGCACCACACAGGGACACUGUUGACUGGUUGACUCCAAACCUAGUACUCAUAACGGUAAUCCUCAUUCCAGUCAUCUUCAUUAUCAUAUCCUGAGGUGUUAGGAAAUUGCAAGAGUGAGCACAUAUCGUACUCAACAAGUAUAACCAGGGGUUCAUGAGGCUCAAAUAGCUGACACUGGUUUGACUGCAUUUAGCUUUUAAUAGUGGAUAGCAUGUUUACUCAUUGGAUAGCAAAUCUCAAGGUAGCAUUAUUAAAUCCCAUAACCACAUGAUCAAUGUAUACAAGAAUUAAGAAUAACACAUAUAAACAACAUAAUAAACCAUCAUUUAUUAUCAUUAUUCACGUUCAUCAGUGUCCAUCUAUUCCGUCAGUUUUCCGAGCCGCCCGUAUCUGUGGGCACGGCUAGUAUACCAUAUUUAACACUCUGCAGAGGUUGUACAUCUUUACCCAUGAGUCGUGAUUUACCCUUUCGCCCGAGGUUGCAAGUCUCUGAACCCCCUUCCUAGGGAGGUCGGCAGGGAUCACUAUGAAGCCUUUCAAAGGUUUCGUCUAACAAGUUAGGGCGAUUAGAUUCACUCGGCACGCAGAUAUAGAGCCUCCCUUCCAUGGCACAUAACCCGCAGCCUAUACACAUGGACAGAGGCCACACUAUACCCAACGUGUCUAGCCAUUCUUACGCCAUUUAAGGUAACCACUAACAAGCUAGAAAAGGUCAUACUGAGCUAAAACCAGAGCCAUAUAGCCCUCAUGGUUGUACGAAUUGUCCCAGCUUUUGCCAAGGGAUAAGUCCUUAUGGAGGGUCAAGAUCAAUCUAGCAAAAGCUAGAGUUCUUUCCACCCUUUAUGUUCAAGUUGCUAGAAAGCUUAUUUUAUUGUUUAUUGUACAUUCAAAUAUUCAUGUUACAAGAUCAUGGGUUAAUAUUCAAGCACUAGCAAGAACUACCCAAAUGCAUAUCCAAAAUAGGUAAUAAGGAAUUCAGGAUAACAAUCAUCUAUGAUUUUGCUAAGGUCAUCAAGGUGGACACAUGCAUAUGAUAAAUAUUGUAUUAAUUGUGUAUAGGUAACAAGGAUGAUCCCAAGUUAUACUUGCCUUGCUCAAAGCUCUCCUGAGCCUGCUGGUCUUCAAAGGCUUGGUCUUGAUCACCAACGUACGGCUCACCGUCUAUUUCCAAACAUUAAUCAACAACACGCAAUCCAAUGUAGACAAUCAUACACAAAGCAAACAACUAUAAUUAGAACAUUACACCAAACAGUAGUAAAACAAAUUUAAAAGUUUACCAAAAUAUUCUAUGCAGCUCUACGAUCACACAAACGUAAAGUUCACGAAAAUCGGAAUUAAAACGGAGUAGUUAUGCAAUUUCCAAGAUUUCCUAUAGAGAAAUAAUUAAUUAAAUGCUACUGCAGAACUAAAAAGUUUCAAAACAGUAAACUAAUACUUCUAACAUGUAGGGAUCGUAAAUACGAAUCCAAUGGAAUUUGAAUGGACAAAAACGGAGUUAAAAUGAGCAUUUUAUAAGCAAAACAAAUCCAGUGGCAAUUCUAUAAUUAGCUAAAAACGUAUUUAGCUUCAUCCCGAACGAAAAUACGCUUUCUACUCAGCAACGCGUAUUUUCCGGAGGGCGCCAAGGACCGCGGGCGAAUUACAAAAGAACACACGGACUCUUUAGAAAGAUUUCCAACGAAGGGGUAUCUUCAUUUGCUGGCCAUCCGAUCUCCAUCCGACGGCCGAGAUUUAGCAACGCGUAUUUUCCGGAGGGCGCCAAGGACCGCGGGCGAAUUACAAAAGAACACACGGACUCUUUAGAAAGAUUUCCAACGAAGGGGUAUCUUCAUUUGCUGGCCAUCCGAUCUCCAUCCGACGGCCGAGAUUUCUCCAGGGGUUAACAGCGGCGGCGGCCGACCAGCUUCCUGGUCUCCGGUGCGGUGGCGCCAUUGUUGCCACUGUUGAUAUUUGGUAACGCAAUUAGAAAAUGAUCCGCAAGCGCACGGAUAUCGGUGAGCAUUUCACCCAGGAGGUUUUCCAGAGUAUCGUAUUUAUAUUUUUACCACUGGGAGAAAGGGUGCAUCUGACUAACCAAAUCUAUUGCUUCUACCCCUUUAGGCUACAAAGAAUGUCUCUCGAUGUGAGUGAUGUAUAGAGAAGACUACAACCGUAGUCUCAUUCUAACCUUGGUAAGGAUAAUCUACUGUUCUAUUGGGGAGGCUCACGGAAUCUAGACAACACAAAGGAUGUUCGACCCGCACCUAUAACCCUACCCGUCCUGCUAACGAGAUGUGAUCUACAAAGGUAACUCGGAAAUGUCACGUUCCUCGCUACUACCACGGUCCAGCUAGUCAGGGGAUAUCUAUGAGUACCCUAGCCUAAACACCACGUUUACGCUAACAAGUGAUUACUCUAAUACUCAACCGGAAGAGGAUUAAAGUAAACUCAUAAACCAAAGAACAAUAAAACAAGAACUUACUAGUAUUAGAAGUCGAAUUACUGAAGAAUCUUAGAAGCAAGCCUUGGGUUAGGAGACUUGAUCCCGUAGGUACAACUCGGAGUAGACACCGACAGGCCGGCCUUCCUCCGAUCCACACCUCCACUCUAUCUCUCUCAAUCUAGUAGAAACUAGAAGAUCUAUUUCUACUUUACAUUGGAUGCUAAGCCUAAAAAGAAAUAUUAUUUAGAGAAGAGGUUUUCCUUCGAGGGCACCCCUCAAUCUCUAUGAUAAUUUCUUGUCUUCUCCAGGGCCAGGGGGGCCUUGCUUAUAUAGUCCUCCACUUCUAUGCGUUUUUGGGUCGAUAGGCGAGGUGGUACUAUGUUUUCCUUGAUCCAAUAGGUCGGUGGAACGUCGUGUGCGAAGAGAGUCCGGAACGGAGUCCAGAGGGGGGCGGGCGCCCAGGUCCUCAGGGCGGGUGCCCUGGGCCUGGCCCCUUUCGGGCUCCGCUUCCUUCCCGUGGCUUCUAGAGUCUUCUAGAUGGUAGAAAAUUGCGCGGUGGGUUGAUAUCUCUAUGUAAUCCCGACAUGUGGGCCUUUCUUCCUUAUUUCCUGAUAACCCCCUGCAGAAAUAGACAAACACCAAAACUCGUGGAAUUCUGUCAGAUAAAACCCUAAGUCUAGAUGUUGAUUUCAUUUGGAUCCUUUUCUUUGUUUAUUUGAUAAUUAAAUUUGAUACUUAAGGACCGUCAACAAACUCCCCCAAGCUUACCUCUUGCUCGUCCCUGAGCAAGGAUAGACUCAGCUAUGGAUCAUAAAUUGUUGCAAUAUUUUUAAAAAUUGAUGUACACAUGCUUUUUAAAUAAGAUCUCAUCUCUGAGUUAGAGUAAACUGUCAAGACUUAAAACUUACUUACUUUACCUUUCACCAUGGGACUUGUAACCGUCACUUCUGUCUUGAGUGGUUAAAAGAUAGAACAGUCUAGCCAAGUGCCAUGUCUCUUAUUCUUGAUCAGCUAUAGCUCUAGAGUUUUUGCAGAUUUUCAAAUAAAACUCAGAGAUUCCUUGUAUGAUUCUCUCAGAUCUCUCUUUUGUGGUAUUUUUGGAUCCUUACCAAGGCAGUAAUGGGAUAUGCCUUCUCUCAAUAUAUGUAGUAUUUGUGGUAUGAAGCAUAGUGACAUUGUCUUCUCUCUCACCCUACUCUAAUAAGGCUUUAAUAUCUGGAGCUCAUAGGUGGGAGAUAAAGUAUACAUACUUACAAGACAUUUAUUGCAUAGUCAAACCAUGGAUCUAAAGAAACAAAUCAAUAAGCCAAAUCAAGAUGUGCAUGUGUGGCGAAUGAAUGGUGUAUGGUGAUGAUGGUGAUAACAAUGGUGGUGGAAGUCUAAUUCUACUUUGCUCUUUGAGGGGAUACAUACCUUCCUUGCUUUUGAAACUUUAUGAGGAGAAUGAGAUGCUCUUCUUUUUUUUUCUCAGGUGGGUAUCUUGCACCCCUAAUUCUACUGUCGGACACUUGUCCAUUUUUACCUCUCGUCUCACUUUUUCUUUUCUUUCGAGGUUCCGAGCACUUGCUCCUUUUUAUUUCCUCGUAUCUCUUUUUUUUCUUUUCUUUCUUUUUUUUAGAGCACUCAUCUCCUGAAAUAAUAUAGCAAGUGGUAGUAACCAGGAUAACUCGAGCAUUUAUUUCACAGGGAAUAACAGGGAUAGGAUAAUAUUUUUGGAUAUUCUCUCCUGGAUUAGGAGUAGAAUAAUUUUUGGGUGAAUGUGGAGAUGGAAAUGAGUGGAUAUAUUUGGAUGGUACUUCCGGAGUAGAAGUAGCAUGUAUGAGUGAACGUGCAAGUGAAUCUUGAUUUAACCAUAUGACAAGCUCCUAAGGGUCUACACAGCUUGACCACACUCAAUGCUCAUAAGCAGAAAAAAGUAAAUAUGUGGCUCAAAGUCUAGCAAGCAUGUAUAUAUGGCUGUGGUAGGAAUUUAAACUCUCAUCAUAUAGGAACUCAUCAUGUGUUAUUUUAAAGAUUUUUAAAGAUAAAAUUCUCCAGAAUUCUAGCAUCUCUAGGAACAGAUAAACAGCAGCUCAACCUUCCCAUAUCGUAUCCGUUAACAACUUAGACUUCAGAUCAAGUUUUUAUCCCACAAGUUUAGGUCUAGAGCAAGCCUUAAAUUAUAACAGUUAUAUCUAAACUCGAGAGAGAACUUCAAAUUUGCAAAUUAGGCAGAGCAACUAUUCAUCAUAUCCAUGCUUAAGUUUUAUUAUUAAGAUUCAGAUUAGCAUAGCCACUUUAUUAAACACACUAAGCAAAAUAUAUAUAAGCAUAAAAUCUUUAUUUGGUUUUUUAUAGUUAUGUGUAUUUAUAUUCUAAUAUAGUAUAAGUAUAAAGAUAGAUAGAAAUACUUAUCGUGAUAAAUGGGGGUGCUCUCCCCCAAGCUGAAUUUUGACGUAAUUUCUCUUGAUGUAGCUAGCACGUGGCAGAGGUGUGUUUGAAAGUCAGCAGUAUUUUGACAGCGAUUAGAAUGUCCUCCGUCUGCUAGUCUUCUUGAUUCUUAAAUUCUGUGGAGCUCAAAUAGACAACAAAGCUUGUGGAACUGAUUAAGUGUUAGCAUAAAUAUCUAGCCUGUAUCAUGUUGAGACUCCUUAAUAAAUAUUACUCCCUGUUUUUAUAUUUUUGUUUUUAUAAAGUAGAAAAAUAUUUAUUUUAUUUUUAUGCCACCACAGUGAAUGUACUUAUGGGUUUUAUGCCACUCGUCUACUCACAUGGGGCUUACAGUUUUUUUUUCACAUUUUUAUUUUCUUUCUAGGAUAAUACGAACAUGAUUAACUAAGUAAACUAUUUGAAAUAAUUAAAAGGGAAAGGAUAACUACCAAGUUUACCUCUUGGCAAGGCGUUCGGUGUUUUUAAGUCCUCCGAAUGGGACUCCUUGUGUUUUCAGUCAUCCUGGGAUUCGCUAGGUGGCGUAGUCGGUGAUUCCGGUGGCGCCUCCUCUUUGUGUAUAACUAUGUUCUCUUUCCACACCUGACUCGGUGCUACGGUCUCCUCAGGACAGUUCUGUUCAAGUUGUAUGUCUUCAGUCCUUAUCACUUCUCCUUCGUAGUCUACCCAUCCGUCCUUGAUGAUUUUACUCCUCUGGUUGCGGUUGCGUUGUCUUCUUCUUGUCCUGACCUGCUUAGAGUCUUCAACUAUAUAGUUAGGGUCAAUAAAAUAGCGGCGUACCUUCUUAGAGGGGAAGUGCAUGUGGACUUCUCCGGUUCCAAUGUAGAUGAUAACUUUGAUAGUGUUGAUGAACGGUCUUCUAAGGAUGGUGGGUGGAUCAUACUCGUCUUCUCCCAUGUCAAUGACCUGAAAAUCAUCUGGAGCUGAAUAUAUUGGUUGUAGGGGCAUGGUUCCAUGCAAGAGCUGAUAAGUGACUACGGCCAUUAUGUUGUCGUCAGAUCCGGUGUCGUAGAGUGUCUUCUAAAAAGAGUAUCCAUUGUUUGUGCAUUUGAUUCUUGGAACACCAGGGUCGUCCUUCUUGAUCAAGAAAGGUGACUUGUGUCGACGAUCUUGACCUCCUUGAACUGCAGUGACCAUCUUAGCUGACUCUAUCCACAUUUGCUUGUUCUUGUUUCCUCCUGUUGGUCCUCUUUCUUGGUUGAUGUCAGGGUUGCUCUGAAGUUUGUGUCGUCUUGUUCUUGAAGGAAAGUCUCCUUCUUCCCCUUGAUGUAGAGACUGAUCUUGGCAGCAUUAGCGUAGAUGACAGCUCUGGUGUUUAGGAAUGGCCUCCCUAAGAUGAUGGGUGCCCUCUCCUCAGUGCCAGUCUCUAUCACCACGAAGUUUGCUGGAGUGUGCAAGGUACCAACUCGGACAUAGAGGUUCUUCAAUAUUUCCUUUGGGAAACUAAGUGUCUGAUCUCCAUUGUGUUUGUGCUCGUAGAUCCCGGUUCUUCACUUGAUGGAAUCUGGGAGUUGUAAAACGCCUUCACGUUUCUCAAAAUGUGUCCUGCUCAUAGAGACAAGGCAGAGAUCAAGUGCAUGGGCCCUGUUGGUGGAAAACACCAACAGAACCAAAAGUGUAUUUGUUCUUCUCUAACCUUAAGCAUAGUGAGCAAGACAAAGUUGAUGGAUCAUGAGUGUAGCAUUUAAAACAUUUGUUAGAUCAGAUGGCUCAACCUAAUGGAAAGAUAAUCUAUCUAUAUUUAUGUUUUGUUUAUAUCUUUCAAAGAUUGAAUGUGCAAUACUUUAGCUUAUAUGAUUAGGAGUGUGGGAUCACGAAGGUAGUACUAAGAACAAAGAUUAAAGGACUAAACAUGUUGAAUUAAUUGGGUUGGUAAAUUUGGAGUUAUAAAUCAUACAUGUUUGUCUCUUUAUUUAUGUGAAUGCCAGAACCAAGGAGAAGCUUAUAAAAGUGUUGGUCAAGUACCUUAAGAUGUUACCUUACUUGAAGAGUGAUGGUACAGUAUCACCUUGUGGAAGCUUUCCUUUCUUAGCGGUUGUGUAUCGUGUUUG